rnacentral:rRNA from 1 species
UACGGAGGGUGCGAGCGUUAAUCGGAAUUACUGGGCGUAAAGCGCACGCAGGCGGUUUGUUAAGCUAGAUGUGAAAGCCCCGGGCUCAACCUGGGAUGGUCAUUAGAACUGGCAGACUAGAGUCUUGGAGAGGGGAGUGGAAUUCCAGGUGUAGCGGUGAAAUGCGUAGAUAUCUGGAGGAACAUCAGUGGCGAAGGCGACUCCCUGGCCAAAGACUGACGCUCAUGUGCGAAAGUGUGGGUAGCGAACAGG